GAAAUAUAUUUCAAUGAUUAAAAUUAACAGGAUGUACCACAGACUAGAUGUGAGAGGCAUAAAGAUUGACUGUAAAGAUUGUAGCCUGAGCACCCGGAAAGAAAGGAAUUCCUAUAAAUACACAGAGAGUAGAAAGAAUUUACCAAAGGCCAGUUAAGAGUGAUGGAAAAUACAGACAUCCUAAUUUUGAGAGGCCAAUUAAACAUUCAGACAAACUUCUGUACAAGGGCUGAAGACAGGACAAGAUGUGCUGAUGUAUAAAAAGUCUAAAUCUGCAGCAUAAUCGUGAAGAGAUGAGGAAAGCCACGUACUCAGAGCCUCACUUAAAGGAAAUGAAACAGUAAAACUGAAUCAGAUUUGGCUCUUCACUUCUGCCUUCAGUGCUGUCCAGACUCAGACAUUAUAUCAUUCUAGAUCCUUCCAAAAAAGAGCCCGCAUAGCCAAGACAAUCCUCGGCAAGAAGAACAAAGCUGGAGGCAUCACACUACCUGACUUCAAACUAUACUACAAGGCUACAGUAACCAAAACAGCAUGGUACCUGUACCAAAACAGAUGUAUAGACCAAUGGAACAAAACAAAGGCCUCAGAAAUAACACCACACAUCUACAACCACCUGAUCUUUGACAAACCUGACAAAAACGAGCAAUGGGGAAAGGAUUCUCUAUUUAAUAAAUGGUGUUGGAAAAACCGGCUAGCCAUAUGCAGAAAACUGAAACUGGGCCCAUUCCUUACACCUUAUACAAAAAUCAACUGAAGAGAUCAAAGACUUAAACGUAAGACCUAGUACCAUAAAAAUCCUAGAAGAAAACCUGGGCAAUACCAUUCAGGACAUAGGCAUGGGCAAAGACUUCACAUCUAAAACACCAAAAUCAAUGGCAACAAAAGCCAAAAUUGACAAAUGAGAUCUAAUUAAACUAAAGAGUUUCUGCAUAUCAAAAGAAAC
rnacentral:lncRNA from 1 species